ACGAACGCUGGCGGCGUGCUUAACACCUGCAAGUCGAACGGAAAGGCCCCUUUGGGGGUACUCGAGUGGCGAACGGGUGAGUAACACGUGAGUAAACUGCCCUUGACUUCGGGAUAACUUCAGGAAACUGGGGCUAAUACCGGAUAGGAAUCCUUGCUGCCUGGUGGGGGGUGGAAAGCUUCGGCGGUUUUGGAUGGACUCGCGGCUUAUCAGCUUGUUGGUGGGGUAGUGGCUUACCAAGGCUUUGACGGGUAGCCGGCCUGAGAGGGCGACCGGCCACAUUGGGACUGAGAUACGGCCCAGACUCCUACGGGAGGCAGCAGUGGGGAAUAUUGCACAAUGGGCGGAAGCCUGAUGCAGCAACGCCGCGUGCGGGAUGACGGCCUUCGGGUUGUAAACCGCUUUCAGCAGGGGCGAAGCUUGUGGUGACGGUACCUGCAGAAGAAGCACCGGCUAACUACGUG
rnacentral:rRNA from 1 species